AACGAACGCUGGCGGCAGGCCUAACACAUGCAAGUCGAACGCCCUCUUCGGAGGGAGUGGCAGACGGGUGAGUAACGCGUGGGAACCUACCUAGUGGUACGGAAUAACUCGGGGAAACCCGUGCUAAUACCGUAUGUGCCCGAUAGGGGAAAGAUUUAUCGCCAUUAGAUGGGCCCGCGUCGGAUUAGCUUGUUGGUGAGGUAAUGGCUCACCAAGGCGACGAUCCGUAGCUGGUCUGAGAGGAUGAUCAGCCACACUGGGACUGAGACACGGCCCAGACUCCUACGGGAGGCAGCAGUGGGGAAUAUUGGACAAUGGCGCAAGCCUGAUCCAGCCAUGCCGCGUGAGUGAUGAAGGCCCUAGGGUUGUAAAGCUCUUUCAACGGUGAAGAUAAUGACGGUAACCGUAGAAGAAGCCCCGGCUAACUUCGUGCCAGCCGCCGCCGUAACAC
rnacentral:rRNA from 1 species